AGCAGUAGCCACGGGAAUACAGAGGGUGCAAGCGUUAAUCGGAAUUACUGGGCGUAAAGCGCGCGUAGGUGGUUUGUUAAGUUGGAUGUGAAAUCCCCGGGCUCAACCUGGGAACUGCAUCCAAAACUGGCAAGCUAGAGUAUGGUAGAGGGUGGUGGAAUUUCCUGUGUAGCGGUGAAAUGCGUAGAUAUAGGAAGGAACACCAGUGGCGAAGGCGACCACCUGGACUGAUACUGACACUGAGGUGCGAAAGCGUGGGGAGCAAACAGGAUUAGAUACCCCAGUAGUCCCUGUCUCUUAUAC
rnacentral:rRNA from 1 species